AUACGGAGGGUGCAAGCGUUAUCCGGAUUUAUUGGGUUUAAAGGGUUCGUAGGCGGAUCAAUAAGUCAGUGGUGAAAGCCUGUGGCUCAACCAUAGAACUGCCAUUGAUACUGUUGAUCUUGAGUACACUUGAAGUGGGCGGAAUGCGUCAUGUAGCGGUGAAAUGCAUAGAUAUGACGCAGAACACCGAUUGCGAAGGCAGCUCACUAAAUUGUAACUGACGCUGAGGAACGAAAGCGUGGGGAGCGAACAGGAUUAGAUACCCUAGUAGUCC
rnacentral:rRNA from 1 species